rnacentral:tRNA from 1 species
GCGGGAGUGGCGGAAUGGCAGACGCACCAGACUUAGGAUCUGGCGCUUCACGGCGUGGAGGUUCAAGUCCUCUCUCCCGCACCA